rnacentral:rRNA from 1 species
AUUGAACGCUGGCGGCAUGCCUUACACAUGCAAGUCGAACGGUAGCGGGCCUUCGGGUGCCGACGAGUGGCGAACGGGUGAGUAAUGUAUCGGAACGUACCUUUCAGUGGGGGAUAACGUAGCGAAAGUUGCGCUAAUACCGCAUAUUCUGUGAGCAGGAAAGCAGGGGAUCGCAAGACCUUGCGCUGAUUGAGCGGCCGAUAUCAGAUUAGCUAGUUGGUGAGGUAAAGGCUCACCAAGGCGACGAUCUGUAGCGGGGCUGAGAGGAUGAUCCGCCACACUGGAACUGAGACACGGUCCAGACUCCUACGGGAGGCAGCAGUGGGGAAUUUUGGACAAUGGGGGCAACCCUGAUCCAGCCAUGCCGCGUGAGUGAAGAAGGCCUUCGGGUUGUAAAGCUCUUUCGGCCGGGAAGAAAUCGUAUCAGCUAAUACCUGGUGCGGAUGACGGUACCGGCAUAAGAAGCACCGGUUAACUACGUGCCAGCCGCCGCGGUAACAC